UAAGGGGUAGGUAGCAGGUGGGGACAACCCUGUCCAUCCUUUUGUAUUCCUCCACAUUCGGGUUCAACUAGAGCUAAUAGCCGGAGCCGCCUGGCAGACUAGGUGUUGACCAGUGCCCAAAGUAGAUGCUUAGUAACAAAGUUUAUCCUUGCAAGAAUCUUUAUCCUAACACAACCACUCUACCCAGACCAUUCUAUCUCUUUUUCUU
rnacentral:lncRNA from 1 species